rnacentral:rRNA from 1 species
UGGGGAAUAUUGGGCAAUGGGGCGAAAGCCUGACCCAGCAACGCCGCGUGAAGGAAGAAGGUCUUCGGAUUGUAAACUUCUUUUAUGAGGGACGAAGGACGUGACGGUACCUCAUGAAUAAGCCACGGCUAACUACGUGCCAGCAGCCGCGGUAAUACGUAGGUGGCAAGCGUUAUCCGGAUUUACUGGGUGUAAAGGGCGCGUAGGCGGGGAUGCAAGUCAGAUGUGAAAUCUAUGGGCUUAACUCAUAAACUGCAUUUGAAACUGUAUCUCUUGUAGUG